rnacentral:lncRNA from 1 species
UGCCAGUGCCCUGCUCUCGGACUUCCCAGCCUCCAGAAUCACAAGCCAAAUGAAUUUCUAUUCACUACAAAUCACCAGCCUUCGUCGUACUACUAUAACUGCAGAAAACAAACUAAGACACCUGGGUUUUUGUGUUUUCAUGCCCGGGCCAGGCCACGGCAGAACGAACACCCAUGGCAAAUGGGAGCUGGCUUCACAGUGACUGCCAGAGCGGCCAGGCCACACUGCACAGACCUGUCAGGAGAGAAGGCCCCAGUGAGGACUGCGACCCAUGGAGCCAGCAGGAAGACUGAACUUGCUCCAGGAAGGUGAUGCUGUCACACACGAGACUUCAGGGUGUCACCCACCGAUGUCACCACAUCGCGCCCGCCUGACAGGACCUCUGAGGUGGUCUCCCUGAGGGACCCUUGAGUGUGCAUGCAGAGCCCCCCUCCUCACCUGCCCCCCAAAGUGCUGCAUCUGCACCUGUCCGGUUUGAUCCGGCCCCCUGUGGAAGAGAAAGAUGCACCGAUGGCCUCUUGUCGUCCUUUUCCACCUGGGAAGUGAUAUUGUUAAUCUGGAUAGUCUCUAAAUUAAAUUUAUAGAAAAACCGCUCC